UUCAUGUGAGGCUAGCUGUUCUGUUUUAUGAAUCUGAAUUGCAUGGAACUUGCACGGUUCGGCUGAGAACAUCUCGGGAGAUUUACGGGAGGUAUCCAUGGCAUUAACUGCAGAGCUGAGCUGUAUUGCUUAAUCAACCUGAGAAUAGGGGCUUCCGCUAAAAAUCCACCUCUUCCAGCAACCUUGCAAGGUCGGCAUGAGUAUUACCUUCACUGAAGAGACGGGGACACUGAGACUCAGAGAGGUCAAACAACUCUUCCAGAGUCACACAAUAGAUGGCAAAAGGAGGAUUGGAACCCUGGUCCACCUGACUCCAGUGUCCAUGAUUUGUUCUAUGAUCUUACACCCAGCUUGUUCAAAAGGCUCAUUCAUCCCUUGUGCUAUGGGAAGAGACUGAAUAAUGCCAUCAUCCAUGUGACCAGUCUGCUAGGGUGGUCUGUUUUCCACAAGUCUUCCUGCAAGCAAGGUGUCCUGAGGAUGGUCCAGAACUCACCUAAGGGCUGGGCUAGAACCAGGAUGAAUAGAGCUGACUGGAACAGGAGGCCAGUCUAACAGUGACUCUGGGAAGUAUAUGGGUUGAUCUUAAGGAGAACCUGUGAUUUUAGGCAUCCAAGCAGAGGUGAGGACAGCGAUCUCAGUCGGCCAAUGGAAGUCCCUGUCCUUCACCAUCAGGGUCUGCCC